AGGAUCAUUACAGAGUUAGGGUCUUUCAGGCCCGAUCUCCAACCCUAUGUGUACCUACCUCUGUUGCUUUGGCGGGCCGGUUGGGGCGACCCACCGGUGGCCUUCGGCUCCCGAGUGCCCGUCAGAGACCCAUCCAAACCUGUCAAUUGUGUCGUCUGAGUACCAACUUAAUAAUUAAAACUUUCAACAACGGAUCUCUUGGUUCUGGCAUCGAUGAAGAACGCAGCGAAAUGCGAUAAGUAAUGUGAAUUGCAGAAUUCAGUGAAUCAUCGAAUCUUUGAACGCACAUUGCGCCUCUCGGUAUUCCGGGAGGCAUGCCUGUUCGAGCGUCAUUACACCACUCAAGCUCGGCUUGGUGUUGGGCCCUCGUCCCCCGCGGACGUGCCCGGAAAUCAGUGGCGGCGCAGCCCGGCUUCAAGCGCAUCAGUCGUAACAACGCUUUGGAAGUCCGGGUAUGGGUCUGCCAGACAACCCCACCAUUUAUCAAGGUUGACCUCGGAUCAGGUAGGCAUACCCGCUGAACUUAAGCAUAUCAAUAAGCGGAGGAAAAGAAACCAACAGGGAUUGCCUCAGUAACGGCGAGUGAAGCGGCAACAGCUCAAAUUUGAAAUCUGGCUCUUUCAGGGUCCGAGUUGUAAUUUGCAGAGGAUGCUUCGGGUUCGGCUCCGGUCUAAGUUCCUUGGAACAGGACGUCAUAGAGGGUGAGAAUCCCGUAUGUGACCGGUCGCCACGCCCGUGUGAAGCUCCUUCGACGAGUCGAGUUGUUUGGGAAUGCAGCUCAAAAUGGGUGGUAAAUUUCAUCUAAAGCUAAAUAUUGGCCAGAGACCGAUAGCGCACAAGUAGAGUGAUCGAAAGAUGAAAAGCACUUUGGAAAGAGAGUCAAACAGUACGUGAAAUUGUUGAAAGGGAAGCGCUUGCAAUCAGACUUGCCCGCGGGUGAUCAGCCGGUAUUCUUACCGGUGCACUCGCCCGUGGUCAGGCCAGCAUCGGUUCGGGCGGCUGGAUAAAGUCCACCGGAACGUAGCUCCCCUCGGGGAGUGUUAUAGCCGGAGGUGCCAUGCAGCCCGCCCGGACCGAGGACCGCGCU
rnacentral:sRNA from 1 species